GUGCCAGCAGCCGCGGUAAUACGUAGGGGGCGAGCGUUGUCCGAAUUUACUGGGCGUAAAGCGCGCGUAGGCGGUUUCUUAAGUCUGGGGUGAAAGGUUCAACGCUCAACGUGAACAGUGCCUUGGAUACUGGGAGACUUGAGUCUGGGAGGGGGUAGUGGAAUUCCUGGUGUAGCGGUGAAAUGCGUAGAUAUCAGGAGGAACACCGGUGGCGAAGGCGGCUACCUGGCCUAAGACUGACGCUGAGGUGCGAAAGCGUGGGGAGCGAACGGGAUUAGAUACCCCCGUAGUCC
rnacentral:rRNA from 1 species